AGAUUCCUGCAACGAUUGUGAGGAGAUAAGAUUUUGAGCCUACAUUUAUUUGGACGGGAGUUCGGAGUUUCGUUGCCGUGAGCAGACCUUCCCUUGGAAGGGAGCCUGAAGUAACGGGCAGGACACCCACCUGGAACCCAGGCCAAAUAAUUGAUCCUCACGUCGUUGCGGGAACUUU
rnacentral:other from 1 species